rnacentral:lncRNA from 1 species
AUGGUCAAAUUUGGCUAACUUGAAGUGUGACAAGCUUAGGCAAGUUGUGGUAACCAACCAAACAACCCCAUAGAUACUAACAUGGCCACGCGAAGCGAUCGAGAUGGCCUGACAUGGAUGAAAGAAUAGCGCAGGUUUCCUCCCUUUCUUCAACUUCCUCCCCCCUAUUGAUGUCCUCUCCCCAUCCUCCGGAUCCUGAAAUGCAACCCACACUUCUCGUCAGAAGGGUAGCCGGUGCUGGUGAAGCGGGAGGGGGAGGGUAUCGG